rnacentral:rRNA from 1 species
GUGUCAGCCGCCGCGGUAACACGUAGGGGGCGAGCGUUGUCCGGAUUUAUUGGGCGUAAAGAGCUCGUAGGCGGUUCGGUAAGUCGGGUGUGAAAACUCUGGGCUCAACUCAGAGACGCCACCCGAUACUGCUGUGACUUGAGUCCGGUAGGGGAGUAUGGAAUUCCCGGUGUAGCGGUGAAAUGCGCAGAUAUCGGGAGGAACACCAGUGGCGAAGGCGGUACUCUGGGCCGGAACUGACGCUGAGGAGCGAAAGCGUGGGUAGCGAACAGGAUUAGAUACCCGUGUAGUCC